rnacentral:rRNA from 1 species
AUGAUUCAAAUCGCCCGAUCGGUAACAAUGCUUGCAUGCAUCGGCUUCAUGGCCGUCAGAUCAGAUUUUAAUUGGAUGGCUCAAGAGCAACGUAUUGCCUCGACUAGUUUUGCGCAACUUAGUUGUUGUUGCAAUCCCCCUCCGCAACAAGUGAUGUGUUGCGGGAUCUGGAUCUGGAUCCUCUUGCGCUCUCCCGAGCUCCUCGUCAAGCCAACACCUCCAUGCAUUGCUUCGACCACCGCCAUUGCUACUCGCUCUAGGCAGCACACUUACGAGGUCGCCAAUAGCACGCGGACGAGGCCGAAGCCGGUGACAAGCACGCUGACGAGGUCACCUCUCUCGGUAUCCAUGUGUCCGCUCACAAUUAGUGGCCAUGGUUGCUCGAGCGCGCACGCCAAAGCUUCGCUCCCGCCGCUGUCGCCCAACUAUGCCGCUCCGGCCCCAUGCUGCAUCGCCUCCACCACCACCAUCAUCGGAUGCGCAACACCCCUCCUUCCUUCCCCAUCAAAACCGAGCUUCUUGACUACGACGCUUGACCUGGAGAUUGCUUCAGAUCACACGGCUCGUAAACCGGCGGAUCUUUCCACCGGCCGAUGUGUAAAAAUACGAGCCGGUUGGAACCCACGAACCCAACGCACGAUUUCACUCUCCACACAAUUGUUCGCUCCUCCCCAUCCUGAACUCUUUCCCUCCACCGGCACGCGCUUGCCGCUGCCGCCGCCCCACCUCCACCUCCGAUUCUCCCUCAGCCCAUCCCGCCCUCUCCUCUCCCUACACCCGCCGCUUCUCCUCCGUGACGUGUGGCCCAGCCACCGCUCGCCACCUCUCCCUCCGCUGCGGCCGCCGGGGCCACGCUCCCGUGCGCACCGCGCAAUGCAAGUCCGCCGGGCCGGAGGGGUUCAAGGAGGAGCUGUGCAGGCCACUGGAGCUUCUCCUCGGGGAUCUCUGGUGGUGGGCGAAGGACCACCCGGAUCUCCCCGCGCUGGUGGAGGUGGUAAUGGACCUCGGCCACACCCGCUCGCCCUCUUCCCUUCAGGCGACUUCCUCCUCUCCCACCACCUCCCUCAUAAUCCCUUGGCACCGACACGAUCGCAUAUUGGGUCGUUGUUCUCUGCAAAUAUGAGCAGUUCUCGGUGCACCCAAGCGGCGCUGCCGACCGCAGCCUUCAACGCCUCCAGUGGACGUUGCCGCGCUCAGCUCAGGGGAGAGCGGUCGCAUCCCACCGCCACAUCGGCUCCGGGCGAAAGCCACGCCGCCGGAUCCCCCCACGCACCACCUCCUGCAGGUCUUCGUCCGUUAGGUGCCUUCAUGCUUCCGCUGGUCCACUUGUUGCACGGACGCAUCGGCUCAGAUAUUAAGGAAGAUAUAGCAGAGAAGGAGCUGGCAUCUUCGUGCCCUUCCAACUGGAGAACCUACGUGGAUGAUAUCGACAAGCUCGAUGGCCACAAUGAACCAGAUGUUGUCAACUACAUGGAGGACAUCUAUAAGUACUACAAGGCAGCACUGAGGAAGAAGAAAUCUCUGAAUUACGCUAUUCUUUUCCCCAGGUUCUUAUUGAUCUCUUCUUUGCAUGAGCUUCUGAACACACAUCUAAUGCUUCUAAGAAGCAAAUUCCAUACUCUAGCAGUGACUUGCUUUCCGGUGUUUUGGUGGGAGAAAAUUUUCAGAAGCCAAGUUGUGCUGGACAUAGCAAAGUUCAAGACUGGUCGCAUGAGCUGA